UACGUAGGGACCAAGCGUUGUCCGGAAUCAUUGGGCGUAAAGAGCGUGUAGGCGGCUUGUUAAGUCUUGCGUGAAAUCUCGGGGCUCAACCCCGAGCGGUCGUGAGAAACUGGCAGGCUAGAGUGCGGGAGAGGAGAGUGGAAUUCCUGGUGUAGCGGUGAAAUGCGCAGAUAUCAGGAAGAACACCCGUGGCGAAGGCGGCUUUCUGGUCUGUAACUGACGCUGAGGCGCGAAAGCGUGGGGAGCAAACAGG
rnacentral:rRNA from 1 species